GAUACAACGGUGUUCGUUCUUUAUUAUUUACUUAUCGCACUUAUUUCAUUCUUGCAAUUUUUAAAUUACGCAAGUUUACGCUAUUUUUUAUUAUAACGCUAUUCACCCCCCCCCUAGCGUUAAGCGCAUUUUCUAACAAUUGGUAUCAGAGCCUAACUCUCUAAAAGCCUUAACCUGUUGAGAGAAAUAUAUAUUUUUUCUGUUGAGAAUAUUGAACGCAGGAACGAUGGAUGAAGGAC
rnacentral:lncRNA from 1 species